CCUAGAGCGGCGGACUGGUGAGUAACACGUGGGUGACCUACCCUUAGGAUGGGGAUAGCCACUAGAAAUAGUGGGUAAUACCGAAUGUGGUUACCGGGCUGUGGCCUGGUAAAGAAAGGAGCUAUGGCUCCGCCUGAGGAUGGGCCCGCGUCCCAUUAGUUAGUUGGUGAGGUAACGGCCCACCAAGGCGAUGAUGGGUAGCCGGCCUGAGAGGGUGAACGGCCACACUGGGACUGAGAUACGGCCCAGACUCCUACGGGAGGCAGCAGCUAAGAAUAUUCCGCAAUGGACGAAAGUCUGACGGAGCGACGCCGCGUGGAUGACGAAGGCCGAAAGGUUGUAAAAUCCUUUUGUCGAUGAAGAAUAAGCAUGGGAGGG
rnacentral:rRNA from 1 species